UAGAGAUGUUGGUCAGGUAAAAAGAGUUC
rnacentral:piRNA from 1 species